rnacentral:lncRNA from 1 species
CUUUUACAAAUACAUUAAGUUUUAUUUAUCAACUCUACUCUACUCGGGAAUCCAAAUUUUAUACAAAAUCGGUUAACCGGUAAAACGUCUACUUCUUAAGUUGCAAAAUGCAUAAGCUUAAUCUACUACUAGAUCUAAACAAAUAGAAAAGGGAAACGGACAUGGAAAAAACACGGGGAAGUAGUUUCCUUCUCCAGUGAACACAACAGCAACAAAGUGUCCAAAACAGCAUUCGCUGUGUCGCCAGUUACCAUUAGAUUAGCCCGCCCACAAAAUUGUCCUGUAGUCACAAACGUUGGAUCUAAUCGAAGACCAACACUAAAAACCUAAACAUCGGGCAUGCCUGGAGCAUAGACAAAGGAACCGGCCGCUUAGGGCAUCCUGAUUUUAUACAAAAAUAUUAGUUGUUUGUAGGGCAUUAUAAAAAAAAUUUCUAUGAAGAACGAGAGCAUAAAUUUGUAUUUGAGUGUAUUGACAUCACAUGUUUAAAAAAAAAGUUAGACCGGCCAUGAGUCAGCGGGAACUGCUCGAGACUCCACCGCCACAGGGGUCUGAGAUACCGCAUGCAACGUCUCACUCAAAUGACGAAGAGAAGCGAUGGACCGGAGAGAAGCAAACCUCUGGAAAUCGCCAUCUCAAAAGGUAAACCCGGUGACACUAUCACCAUUUUCAACAAUCGAACAAGCUUCGCUACGAUGACUAACACACAAUCUCCAGUGAGCUUUCAUGUCGUCCUCGUAACAAAGAGCAUCUCUUCGACUGACGAGCCACCAGAGCUAAAAAGGUAACCUCCACGCCAGAGGUCACGCGAUCUGCAAGGAGGAGAGAUGAGGCGCUUUCAAUCAACAUCGGACGACGACUAAUCCGUCUAAGUAGCUCAGGUUCCGGGUGUGGGAGACGUAAAAGGCUUGCGACGAGCUCGCCAUGGUCCACGCCUCCACCCAAGCAAGCGAAGAUUCAGUUCUUUGGGAGAGGCACGUCAGAUUCAAUCGCCUCUCAAAGGAUUAUAUACAUUCUUUUUUAUUAUUAUCAAGUUGAUUAAUGUUUUACUAUAUACUGUAAUUGAUUUUCAUAUCUUUAAAAAUCAUUUCCAUAUUAAUAUGUGUUCUCUUCAUUUUCAUGCAAAUUUCACAAGAAACUUAUAACAUGUAUAGAAAAUGUAAUAAAUAAAAC